AUAGAUCCUGAAACCGCAUGCUUACAAAAAGUAGGAGCCUCGAAAGGGGUGACUGCGUACCUUUUGUAUAAUGGGUCAGCGACUUACAUUCAGUGGCAAGGUUAACCGAAUAGGGAAGCCGUAGAGAAAUCGAGUCCGAAUAGGGCGAUCAGUCGCUGGGUGUAGACCCGAAACCAAGUGAUCUAUCCAUGGGCAGGAUGAAGGUGCCGUAACAGGUACUGGAGGUCCGAACCGACUAAUGUUGCAAAAUUAGCGGAUGACCUGUGGAUAGGGGUGAAAGGCUAAACAAACUUGGAAAUAGCUGGUUCUCUCCGAAAACUAUUUAUGUAGUGCCUCAAGUAUUACCAUCGGGGGUAGAGCACUGUUUUGGCUAGGGGGUCAUGGCGACUUACCAAACCAAGGCAAACUCCGAAUACCGAUGAGUACAGCUUGGGAGACAGAGCACCGGGUGCUAACGUCCGGACUCAAGAGGGAAACAACCCAGACCGCCAGCUAAGGUCCCUAAAAUUGGCUAAGUGGGAAACGAAGUGGGAAGGCUAAAACAGUCAGGAUGUUGGCUUAGAAGCAGCCAUCAUUUAAAGAAAGCGUAAUAGCUCACUGAUCGAGUCGUCCUGCGCGGAAGAUGUAACGGGGCUAAGCCAGUUACCGAAGCUGCGGAUUUGCAAUUUAUUGCAAGUGGUAGGAGAGCGUUCUGUAGGCCUGUGAAGGUGGUGGUGUAAACCCUGCUGGAGGUAUCAGAAGUGCGAAUGCUGACAUGAGUAGCGUUAAAGGGGGUGAAAAGCCCCCUCGCCGUAAGCGCAAGGUUUUCUACGCAACGUUCAUCGGCGUAGAGUGAGUCGGCCCCUAAGGCGAGGCAGAGAUGCGUAGCUGAUGGGAAACAGGUCAAUAUUCCUGUACCGAUGACAAGUGCGAUGUGGGGACGGAGAAGGUUAGCUCAGCCAACUGUUGGAUAUGUUGGUUCAAGCCUGUAGUCGUGCUCGGUAGGCAAAUCCGCCGGGCUUAGAUGAGGGGUGAUAACGAGGGUGCUUGCACCUGAAGUGAGUGAUACCCUGCUUCCAGGAAAAGCCACUAAGCUUCAGCUUGUCAUUGACCGUACCGCAAACCGACACUGGUGCGCGAGAUGAGUAUUCUAAGGCGCUUGAGAGAACUCAGGAGAAGGAACUCGGCAAAUUGAUACCGUAACUUCGGGAGAAGGUAUGCCCCAAGUAGGUGAACUCGAACAGAGGGAGCCCAACGGGGUUGCAAAAAAUCGGUGGCUGCGACUGUUUAAUAAAAACACAGCACUCUGCAAACACGAAAGUGGACGUAUAGGGUGUGACGCCUGCCCGGUGCUGGAAGAUUAAAUGAUGGGGUGCAAGCUCUUGAUUGAAGUCCCAGUAAACGGCGGCCGUAACUAUAACGGUCCUAAGGUAGCGAAAUUCCUUGUCGGGUAAGUUCCGACCUGCACGAAUGGCGUAACGAUGGCCACACUGUCUCCUCCUGAGACUCAGCGAAGUUGAAAUGUUUGUGAUGAUGCAAUCUCCCCGCGGAAAGACGGAAAGACCCCAUGAACCUUUACUGUAGCUUUGUAUUGGACUUUGAACAGAUCUGUGUAGGAUAGGUGGGAGGCUUUGAAGCUGGAACGCUAGUUUCAGUGGAGCCGACGUUGAAAUACCACCCUGGUGUGUUUGAGGUUCUAACCUAGGUCCAUUAUCUGGAUCGGGGACAGUGCAUGGUAGGCAGUUUGACUGGGGCGGUCUCCUCCCAAAGCGUAACGGAGGAGUUCGAAGGUACGCUAGUUACGGUCGGACAUCGUGAUAAUAGUGCAAUGGCAUAAGCGUGCUUAACUGCGAGACUGACAAGUCGAGCAGAUACGAAAGUAGGACAUAGUGAUCCGGUGGUUCUGUAUGGAAGGGCCAUCGCUCAACGGAUAAAAGGUACUCUGGGGAUAACAGGCUGAUACCGCCCAAGAGUUCAUAUCGACGGCGGUGUUUGGCACCUCGAUGUCGGCUCAUCUCAUCCUGGGGCUGUAGCCGGUCCCAAGGGUAUGGCUGUUCGCCAUUUAAAGAGGUACGUGAGCUGGGUUUAAAACGUCGUGAGACAGUUUGGUCCCUAUCUUCCGUGGGCGCUG
rnacentral:rRNA from 1 species